UACGUAAGGUGCAAGCGUUGUCCGGAAUUAUUGGGCGUAAAGCGCACGUAGGCGGCUUAGCAAGUCGGAUGUGAAAGCCCUCGGCUCAACCAAGGAAGUGCAUCCGAAACUGCUGAGCUUGAGUACUUAAGAGGAUCGCGGAAUUCCCGGUGUAGAGGUGAAAUUCGUAGAUAUCGGGAGGAACACCAGUGGCGAAGGCGGCGAUCUGGGAAGAUACUGACGCUGAGGUGCGAAAGCGUGGGGAGUAAACAGG
rnacentral:rRNA from 1 species